AGCUUUGCACAGUGGCAGUACCGUAGCCAAUGAGGUUUAUCCGACGCGCGAUUAUUGUAAUUGAAAAAAAAAAGAAACUGUACG
rnacentral:snRNA from 1 species